rnacentral:lncRNA from 1 species
CCAGAUGAAAAAACACAAGCUGAGAGAGGUUAAGUGAUUUGUUCAAAGUAGCAAGGUUGGAAAGCCAAAGAUCAAGUUGCCAGCAGAUUUGAUGUCUGAUGAGAGUUGCUGUCUGUCCCCAAGAUGUAGCCUUGUUACUGCAUACUCUGGAUGGAAAGGACACUGGGUCCUCACAAGAGAUCAGUUUUAUUGAUUCCAUACGUCUUUAUUGAAAAAUAAAUGAAUAAGUGUUGAGAAUCUCCUCCGAGACAGUGUGAUAUGAUGAGUCCUAUGCCAGAGAGAGAGAAAAUCCUACAGCAAACUUAACUGGCCCAAUACAGUUGAUAUGCCUGUCCUUGAACCAAAACUACAGUGAUUGAUUGCACAGUCCUGAGUCACAAGCUCACUCAUGCCUUGGGGACAGGUCAAUCCCACUCAAGCUAUAUGGACUGAGACAGAAGAGGGUUUUGCCAUAAAGAACAAGUAAGAUAUUCUAUGGAAAAAAAAAGUCUUUGAAAAGCAUGAAAACUUCUGAAAGUAAAAAGGUUUAAAGAAAGCAAUUACCCAGGUAAGAGAAAGAUAAAAAUAAUUCUAUCUUUUCUGAAUUAUCCAUAGAUGUUAGACAUUGUCUUAGUCUAUUUGGGCUGCUAUA